rnacentral:rRNA from 1 species
AAUGGUUUUUUGUUUAAAUGUUUUUUCGCCUAAGGAUGGGUCUGCGGCCGAUUAGGUAGUUGGUUAGGUAAUGGCUUACCAAGCCGUUGAUCGGUACGGGUUGUGAGAGCAAGAGCCCGGAGAUGGAACCUGAGACAAGGUUCCAGGCCCUACGGGGUGCAGCAGGCGCGAAACCUCCGCAAUGUGAGAAAUCGCGACGGGGGGAUCCCAAGUGCCAUUCUUAACGGGAUGGCUUUUCAUUAGUGUAAAGAGCUUUUGGAAUAAGAGCUGGGCAAGACCGGUGCCAGCCGCCGCGGUAACACCGGCAGCUCUAGUGGUAACAAUUUUUAUUGGGCCUAAAGCGUCCGUAGCCGGUUUAAUAAGUCUCUGGUGAAAUCCCGUAGCUUAACUGUGGGAAUUGCUGGAGAUACUAUUAGACUUGAGACCGGGAGAGGUUAGAGGUACUCCCAGGGUAGAGGUGAAAUUCUGUAAUCCUGGGAGGACCGCCUGUUGCGAAGGCGUCUAACUGGAACGGUUCUGACGGUGAGGGACGAAAGUUAGGGGCGCGAACCGGAUUAGAUACCCGGGUAGUCCUAACUGUAAACGAUGCGGACUUGGUGUUGGGGUGGCUUUGAGCUGCUCCAGUGCCGAAGGGAAGCUGUUAAGUCCGCCGCCUGGGAAGUACGGUCGCAAGACUGAAACUUAA